UACGUAGGGGGGCGAGCGUUGUCCGGAAUUAUUGGGCGUAAAGAGCUCGUAGGCGGUUCGGCAAGUCACGUGUGAAAUCUCCACGCUCAACGUGGAGGCGCCACGUGAGACUGCUGUGACUCGAGUCCGGUAGGGGAGCGUGGAAUUCCCGGUGUAGCGGUGAAAUGCGCAGAGAUCGGGAGGAACACCCGUAGCGAAGGCGGCGCUCUGGGCCGGUACUGACGCUGAGGAGCGAAAGCGUGGGGAGCAAACAGG
rnacentral:rRNA from 1 species